AUUAAAUUCUAAUUUGACCUCUAUCAUAAUUUAGCUGAGCCCAUUAUGAUGUCAAUCAUUUGAACUCAAUACUGCAGCGAGGAGAGAGUUGCGGUGCAGCAAAGGGAAGGGGGAUUAUAGACAGUUUGGGGACCACACAGUCGGCGUAUCAAAUUGGUUUUAUCCAUCCACAUGUAAUUUUUCCCCUGGAGAGAAGAGAGCUUGUUGAAAUGUUUGGUGUGCGGAGGGAACACGGGGCAUCAAAGGAACGACAGGCUCGACUGUGACUAGAGAAAGUUGCAUUCAGUGUUUAAAAUCGUGCUACAUCAGGGAAAUGAUUGCUUAAUACUGUGGCGAGUUUGGAUGCGACGACCUCUUAUAUGAUGCAAGUCUUAGAAAAGAAAUGAAAGUUUUUAGUGUUUUUAGAUGUUUGUUACAUUCUGGUCUCUGUGCAUUUAUUUGUUAGCACGUCUAUGGGAUGAGGUCCUUUUAAACAGGAGAAUUAUCUAGACGUGGCAUUGAUCUGGAAUACAAAUACUUAUUUAGCGCUUUCUUUCCCUCCCAGUGGAACCUAAGCUCUCAGAAAGAGGCGCCAUGCUUGGAACACGUUAACAUGUUGACAGGAGGAGCAGGAGAUUAAACCAUCAACCCUGUAAUUGGCUGUCGAUCACUUUUGGGCCAAACAGCAACUGGCCAAAGACACAAGAAACGGCAGAUAUUUCUGAUCCAAACCUUGUUCAGUGUAGGGGAGGGUCCAAUGGCUGCGCCGCGCUUUCAAGUGGUUUCAGGAAGGAUCUUUUCCUCCCCGGGGCCGAGGGCCUGACAGAGACUGACAGCACCGGGUUCUCUGUGCAGCGUGUGGCCCUGCGAUGGACUGGUGUCCUGUCCAGACUGUACCCUGCCUCUCUGCCUGAGUUAUCUGGGAUUGGCUCCAGCACCACUCACGACCCCUGCAGGGACCAAGCGGUUGCUCCCAAGUAUUAUGCAGUUAAAUAACCGACUUCAAUAAACAGAUAUGCAAC
rnacentral:lncRNA from 1 species